rnacentral:rRNA from 1 species
UCGAGAAUCUUCGGCAAUGGGCGCAAGCCUGACCGAGCGACGCCGCGUGCGGGAUGAAGGCCUUCGGGUUGUAAACCGCUGUCGAGGGGAAUGAAGUGUAGGUAAGUCAUCUUAUCUAUUUGACAGAUCCCUGGAGGAAGCAUGGGCUAAGUUCGUGCCAGCAGCCGCGGUAAGACGAACCAUGCAAACGUUAUUCGGAUUCACUGGGCUUAAAGCGUGCGUAGGCGGUCUUGUUAGUCAGGUGUGAAAGCCCUCAGCCUAACUGAGGAAUUGCGCUUGAUACUGCAUGACUAGAGAAUGAUAGAGGUGGGUGGAACUGAUGGUGGAGCGGUGAAAUGCGUUGAUAUCAUCAGGAACACCAGUGGCGAAGGCGACCCACUGGGUCAUUUCUGACGCUGAGGUACGAAAGCUAGGGUAGCGAACGG